rnacentral:rRNA from 1 species
GACGAACGCUGGCGGCGUGCCUAACACAUGCAAGUCGAACGGAAAGGCCCUGCUUUUGUGGGGUGGUCGAGUGGCGAACGGGUGAGUAACACGUGAGUAACCUGUACCUGACUUUGGGAUAACUUCAGGAAACUGGGUCUAUUACCGGAUAGGAGCUCCUGCUGCAUGGUGGGGGUUGGUAAGAUUCGGCGGUUGGGGAUGGACUGGCGGCUUAUGAGCUUGUUGGUGGGGUAGUGGCUGACCAAGGUUUUGCGGGGUAGCAGGCAGGAGAGGUUAGACGGCCAAACUAGGCCUGAGAUACGGCACAGACUCGACCGGUAGGCAGCGGUGGGGAGUAUUGCACAAUAGGCGGGAGCCUGAUGCAGCACCGCCGCGUGCGGGAUGACGGCCUUCGGGGUGUAAACCGAUGUCGCCUGUGACGAAGCGUGAGUGACGGUAACGGGUAAAGAAGCACCGGCUAACUACGUG